GACGAACGCUGGCGGCGUGCUUAACACAUGCAAGUCGAACGGAAAGGCCCCUUUGGGGGUACUCGAGUGGCGAACGGGUGCGUAACACGUGAGUAACCUGCCCUUGACUUCGGGAUAACUUCAGGAAACUGGGGCUAAUACCGGAUAGGAAUCCUUGCUGCAUGGUGGGGGUUGGAAAGCUUCGGCGGUUUUGGAUGGACUCGCGGCUUAUCAGCUUGUUGGUGGGGUAGUGGCUUACCAAGGCUUUGACGGGUAGCCGGCCUGAGAGGGCGACCGGCCACAUUGGGACUGAGAGACGGCCCAGACUCCUACGGGAGGCAGCAGUGGGGAAUAUUGCACAAUGGGCGGAAGCCGGAUGCAGAAACGCCGCGGGCGGGAGGACGGCCUUCGGGUUGUAAAACGCUUUCAGCAGGGGCGAAGCUUGUGGUGACGGUACCUGCAGAAGAAGCACCGGCUAACUACGUG
rnacentral:rRNA from 1 species